rnacentral:rRNA from 1 species
CACGGAGGAUGCGAGCGUUAUCCGGAUUUAUUGGGUUUAAAGGGUGCGCAGGCGGCCUGGUAAGUCAGCGGUAAAAUCGUGGGGCUCAACCCCAUCCUGCCGUUGAUACUGUCGGGCUUGAUUGCGGUCGAGGUAGGCGGAAUUCGUCGUGUAGCGGUGAAAUGCAUAGAUAUGACGAAGAACACCGAUUGCGUAGGCAGCUUACCAGACCGCGAAUGACGCUCAGGCACGAAAGUGCGGGGAUCGAACA